GAUGAACGCUGGCGGCGUGCUUAACACAAGCAAGUCGAACGAUGAAGCCCAGCUUGCUGGGUGGAUUAGUGGCGAACGGGUGAGUAACACGUGAGCAACCUGCCCCUGACUCUGGGAUAAGCGCUGGAAACGGUGUCUAAUACUGGAUAUGUGCCACGGCCGCAUGGUCUGUGGUUGGAAAGAUUUUUUGGUUGGGGAUGGGCUCGCGGCCUAUCAGCUUGUUGGUGAGGUAAUGGCUCACCAAGGCGUCGACGGGUAGCCGGCCUGAGAGGGUGACCGGCCACACUGGGACUGAGACACGGCCCAGACUCCUACGGGAGGCAGCAGUGGGGAAUAUUGCACAAUGGGCGGAAGCCUGAUGCAGCAACGCCGCGUGAGGGACGACGGCCUUCGGGUUGUAGACCUCUUUUAGCAGGGAAGAAGCGAAAGUGACGGUACCUGCAGAAAAAGCACCGGCUAACUACGUGCCAGCCGCCGCCGUAACAC
rnacentral:rRNA from 1 species